GGUUAAGCGACUAAGCGUACACGGUGGAUGCCUAGGCAAUCAGAGGCGAUGAAGGACGUGCUAAUCUGCGAUAAGCGUCGGUAAGGUGAUAUGAACCGUGAUAACCGACGAUUUCCGAAUGGGGAAACCCAGUGCAAUUCGUUGCACUAUCGUUUGAUGAAUACAUAGUCAAACGAAGCGAACCGGGGGAACUGAAACAUCUCAGUACCCCGAGGAAAAGAAAUCAACCGAGAUUCCCCUAGUAGCGGCGAGCGAACGGGGAGCAGCCCAGAGUCUUAAUCAGCAUUAGCAUCAGGAGAACGGUCUGGAAAGGCCGGCAGUAAAGGGUGAUAGCCCCGUAUCCGAAGGUGUUAGUGUUGUGAACUCGACGAGUAGGGCGGGACACGUGUUAUCCUGUCUGAAUAUGGGGGGACCAUCCUCCAAGGCUAAAUACUCCUGAUUGACCGAUAGUGAACCAGUACCGUGAGGGAAAGGCGAAAAGAACCCCGGCGAGGGGAGUGAAAUAGAACCUGAAACCGUGUACGUACAAGCAGUGGGAGCCCCACCACCAAAGCAUUUUCUGGUGUUGAGGACAACUUU
rnacentral:rRNA from 1 species